rnacentral:rRNA from 1 species
AUUGAACGCUGGCGGCAGGCUUAACACAUGCAAGUCGAGCGGAGAUGAGGUGCUUGCACCUUAUCUUAGCGGCGGACGGGUGAGUAAUGCUUAGGAAUCUGCCUAUUAGUGGGGGACAACAUUCCGAAAGGAAUGCUAAUACCGCAUACGUCCUACGGGAGAAAGCAGGGGAUCGUCGGACCUUGCGCUAAUAGAUGAGCCUAAGUCGGAUUAGCUGGUUGGUGGGGUAAAGGCCUACCAAGGCGACGAUCUGUAGCGGGUCUGAGAGGAUGAUCCGCCACACUGGGACUGAGACACGGCCCAGACUCAUACGGGAGGCAGCAGUGGGGAAUAUUGGACAAUGGGGGGAACCCUGAUCCAGCCAUGCCGCGUGUGUGAAGGAGGCCUUAUGGUUGUAAAGCACUUUAAGCGAGGAGGAGGCUACUGAGACUAAUACUCUUGGAUAGUGGACGUUACUCGCGGAAUAAGCACCGGCUAACUCUGUGCCAGCAGCCGCCGUAACAC